rnacentral:rRNA from 1 species
AAUCCCUUAUCGAUUAACAAUUAGAGGGCAAGUCUGGUGCCAGCAGCCGCGGUAAUUCCAGCUCUAAUAGCGUAUAUUAAAGUUGUUGCAGUUAAAAAGCUCGUAGUUGGGUUUCGGCGUGCGCUCAGGCUGGUCGGCCGUCAAGGUCUGUACCGUUUGGGUCACGCCCCACUGUAGGAUACUCACCGCUGUCCUUAACUGGGUGGCGGUCAAAGGGGGUGUGCAUGGGGGCAACUCUGUGCAUAUCUCUGGGGUUCCUACUCUUUUACUUUGAGCAAAUUAGAGUGUUCAAAGCAGGCAAUCGAGCCUUGAAUACUUCAGCAUGGGAUAAUGGAACAGGACUGGGGUCCUGAUUUCGUUGGUUUCUGGGAUCUCAGUAAUGAUUAAUAGGGAUAGUUGGGGGCAUUAGUAUUUAAUUGUCAGAGGUGAAAUUCUUGGAUUUAUGAAAGACUAACUUCUGCGAAAGCAUUUGCCAAGGAUGUUUUCAUUAAUCAAGAACGAAAGUUAGGGGAUCGAAGACGAUCAGAUACCGUCGUAGUCUUAACCAUAAACGAUGCCGACCAGCGAUUGGGAGACGUUACAUGGAUGACUCCCCCAGCAGCUUGCGAGAAAUCACAAGUCUUUGGGUUCCGGGGGGAGUAUGGUCGCAAGGCUGAAACUUAAAGGAAUUGACGGAAGGGCACCACCAGGAGUGGAGCCUGCGGCUUAAUUUGACCCAACACGGGGAAACUUACCAGGUCCAGACAUAGUAAGGAUUGACAGAUUUGAGAGCUCUUUCUUGGUUCUAUGGGUGGUGGUGCAUGGCCGUUCUUAGUUGGUGGAGUGAUUUGUCUGGUUAAUUCCGCUAACGAACGAGACCUUAACCUGCUAAAUAUGUCACUGGUAGACUUCUGCCAAAACAGGUGGGUGUCUAGGGGAAAGUUUCGAUGGACUCCGACGCAUUCAUCUGUGGAUGACUACCAGGAUGUACUUCUUAGAGGGACUAUCUGUAUCAAAGCAGAUGGAAGUUUGAGGCAAUAACAGGUCUGUGAUGCCCUUAGAUGUUCUGGGCCGCACGCGCGCUACACUGACAAGUUCAACGAGUUUAACACCUUGCUCGAUAGGGCUGGGUAAUCUUUGAAAAACUUGUCGUGAUGGGGAUAGAUCAUUGUAAUUAUUGGUCUUCAACGAGGAAUUCCUAGUAAGCGUGAGUCAUCAGCUCGCGUUGAUUACGUCCCUGCCCUUUGUACACACCGCCCGUCGCUCCUACCGAUUGAAUGAUCCGGUGAAAUGUUGGGAGCUGGGGUCUUUUGGCGGCGGGGCAACUCGUCGUCAGGGAUUCUGCAAACUUCAUUAAACCUUAUCAUUUAGA